AUAACGGUCCUAAGGUAGCGAAAUUCCUUGUCGGGUAAGUUCCGACCCGCACGAAAGGCGUAAUGAUUUGAGCACUGUCUCGACAAUGCAUCCGGUGAAAUUGAAGUACCAGUGAAGAUGCUGGUUACCUGCGCCAGGACGGAAAGACCCCAUGGAGCUUUACUCCAGUUUGAUACUGGGAUUCGGUACUGCAUGUACAGGAUAGGUGGGAGACGAAGAAGGAUGGACGCCAGUCUGUCCGGAGUCGCUGUUGGGAUACCACCCCUGUAGUACUGGGUUUCUAACCAGCUGCCGUGACCCGGCAGUGGGACAAUGUCAGGCGGGGAGUUUGACUGGGGCGGUCGCCUCCGAAAGGGUAUCGGAGGCGCUCAAAGGUUCCCUCAGAAUGGUCGGAAACCAUUCGAAGAGUGCAAAGGCAGAAGGGAGCUUGACUGCGACACCGACGGGUGGAGCAGGUACGAAAGUAGGACUUAGUGAUCCGGUGGUAUAAAGUGGGAUUGCCAUCGCUCAACGGAUAAAAGCUACCCUGGGGAUAACAGGCUUAUCACUCCCAAGAGUUCACAUCGACGGAGUGGUUUGGCACCUCGAUGUCGGCUCAUCGCAUCCUGGGGCUGUAGCAGGUCCCAAGGGUUGGGCUGUUCGCCCAUUAAAGCGGUACGCGAGCUGGGUUCAGAACGUCGUGAGACAGUUCGGUCCCUAUCUGUCGUGGGCGCAGGAAAUUUGAGAAGAGCUGUCCUCAGUACGAGAGGACCGGGAUGGACGCAUCAAUGGUGGACCAGUUGUCACGCCAGUGGCAUAGCUGGGUAGCUAAAUGCGGAAGGGAUAAACGCUGAAGGCAUCUAAGUGUGAAACCCACUUCAAGAUGAGAUUUCCCAUUGCGCAAGCAAGUAAGACCCCUUAAAGACGAUAAGGUAGAUAGGUCAGGAGUGUAAGCAUGGUGACAUGUUAAGCGGACUGAUACUAAUAGGUCGAGGGCUUGACCGA
rnacentral:rRNA from 1 species